AUGGAAGCAGCCAAAGCGUCACACGUUCUGCUGUUCUUUACUUUCCUGCCCGGGAACGUUCAGGAGCGAGCGUUCCCCCCACUACGAGUCACAUGGAGCAUCAUAAUUCAUCAGCGGCACCGCUGUGGUGCCAGGACUCAUUCAAGGCCAAACGCUCCCAGCAGCCAAUUCGCUCCUUCACUCAACCAGGUGUUUCGCUUCUUCCUUCUGCUCCGGAUCUUUUUCUCCCUCCAGACAUCUGAGUCCAGGAUUCAGGAUGCGAUGGACGGGCUGAGUGGACAGCAGCGCCAGGCAGCAGACGAAGCCGCCUUUUGUUCGUGUAAGAAACAAAAAACGUGGGGGGAAGAAGACGCUACGAGGAGCUCACAGACACAAACGCACAGGCUCAGACGCAGACCUGAGACGCAGACCUGAGGCUUCUGCAGGCGGCCGACGGUGAGGAAUCUGCAGCAGCGUUUGAUCUCUGCAUCAGGACCCGCAACUACGGCUCCUUCCUUUUGUCUAAACGGCAGAGUUUUGCUGAGACGCUGCAACCGCGGGAGAAAAAAAAAAGUCAGAAUGGCUGAAAACCGCUGAAUCCUCAGAUUUGUUUUGGUUGAACUGUACAUUGUAGACGUUGCCUCAACCUCACAUGCAUUAAAAUCCCAUUAAGACAAGCUAUUUACACAGGGUGUAAUAGAGAAAUGAUGGCAGUGACCUCACCGCCCACUCAAAGUUCAACAUUUAAGAAAUUGUUCCAUAAAUGUAGUUUAAUGACAGACAUUCCCUGGAACGCUGAGGUCUUUCUACUGGUCUGUUUACUGGAUGUGGUCCCUCUUCUCAUGACGUCCACCACGCUCCUCUCUGCGGAGAAGCCAGAGCCUCUUGAAACGAGAGGCCGCGUCUAAAGCCAAGGAAGCCGUUGGAAGACGACGCCUGCAGCCAAAUGCGCCUCUUUUUGCUUCACUGGUUGUUUUUUGGAAGGAUGGGAAUAAACAACAAAACUCGAACA
rnacentral:lncRNA from 1 species